rnacentral:rRNA from 1 species
GGACGAAAGUCUGAUGGAGCAACGCCGCGUGAGCGAAGAAGGCCUUCGGGUCGUAAAGCUCUGUUGUUAGGGAAGAACAAGUAUCGGAGUAACUGCCGGUACCUUGACGGUACCUAACCAGAAAGCCACGGCUAACUACGUGCCAGCAGCCGCGGUAAUACGUAGGUGGCAAGCGUUGUCCGGAAUUAUUGGGCGUAAAGCGCGCGCAGGCGGUCCUUUAAGUCUGAUGUGAAAGCCCACGGCUCAACCGUGGAGGGUCAUUGGAAACUGGGGGACUUGAGUGCAGAAGAGGAAAGCGGAAUUCCUAGUGUAGCGGUGAAAUGCGUAGAUAUUAGGAGGAACACCAGUGGCGAAGGCGACUUUCUGGACUGUGUCUGACACUGAGGCGCGAAAGCCAGGGUAGUGAACGGGAUUAGAUACCCCGGUAAUCCUGGCCGUAAACGAUGGGUACUAGGUGUUGGGGGUAUCGACCCCUCCAGUGCCGGAGUUAACGCAAUAAGUACCCCGCCUGGGGAGUACG